rnacentral:tRNA from 2 species
AAUUAAUGAGCUUAUCUAAGCAUUUGUUUUGAAAACUUAAGAAAGAAAAUAAUUAUUCUAUUAAUUU